GGCCGAUUGGUGCAGAUAUUUAUGUUGGUGUUUAACUGACUGGUUUCUGAGGUGUAUUGUUAGACGGCAAGCAGUUUAAUUUGAGUUUGAUAUUAAGUUGGGUUGGUUGCUGACAGAUUUUGGUUUACUAUGCAUUCUAUAGGCAUGGCAAAGCUUGUGGAUAAAAAUACUAUAGUAAGCACUCCAAUUAUGGAUAUAGGGAUUGUGAGUUGACCAGAAUUUUGUAACACAAUAUUUUCAAUCCAGUUGAAGUCUGUUGUUAUAGCUUAGUGGAGGAUAGUGGAGGAGAUAUUCAUUAUGCGACCUUUUAUUAAAUAAUAUGUUGUAAACAAUGCCAUUUUGGUUGUGACAUUACUCUCAGGAUUCUUAAUUUAUGAUGAUCACUAACAUCUGGACAUUCAGUAUUUGUUGGUGAAUAUACUUCUCAUUAUGAAACUCUCUCUUAAGGGAAAGAGACUAUUCUAAAGAAAACUGACCGCAUAUUUCUGAAUAUUGGACAAGGUUGGAGAAGAUUAUAGCUACAAUUCAUGGGAAGAAUUUUCUUCAUGUAGAUGCUAAGCAACAAUCAUGUCAUGAAUGGCACAAGAAAAAUGUGAUCAUCAUCUUGAUUAGUUCUAAGUUUCCAACCAUUGUGAAAAGAGAUAUUUCAAAGGUUAGUGAUAAACCUCUUGUACACAUUUGUUUGAAACAAACAAUUUGUUACAUACUAUAGAAAGAAAUA
rnacentral:misc_RNA from 1 species